GCUGGGCAUGGUGGUGCAUGCCUGUGGUCCCAGCUACUCGGGAGGCUGAGGCGGGAGGAUGGCUUGAGCCCAGGAGGUGGAGGUUGCAGUGAGCCGUGAUUGCGUGAACUGCACUCCAGCCUGGGUGACAGAGUCAGAUCCUGUCUUAA
rnacentral:SRP_RNA from 1 species